CUGUGGGUAGGAGUGAAAAGCUAACCGAACCCGGUAAUAUCUGGUACUCUCCGAAACGUGUCUAAGCACGGCCUCACGUGGUUAGUGAUGGGGGUAGAGCACUGGUUGGGCUAGGGGAGCAAUCUCCGAACUCAGCCAAACUCCGAAUACCAUUACUCAAAGCGUGGGAGACAGACUAUGUGCUAUAAGGUUCAUAGUCGAGAGGGGAACAGCCCAGACCGGCAACAAAGGGCCCAAAGAGGUGACUAAGUGUAAAAGGAAGUGAGGAGUCUGAGACAGCUGGGAUGUUGGCUUAGAAGCAGCCAUCAUUGAAAGAGUGCGUAACAGCUCACCAGUUGAGGCUUUUCGCGCCGAAGAUGUAAGGGGGCUAAAGUCACCCUCCGAAGUUCCGGAACAAUACCGUAAGGAAUUGUUGGUAGGAGAGCAUUGCGUAGUAGGGAGAAGGUAGUACUGAGAGGGCUGCUGGACGAAGCGCAAGAGAGAAUGCAGGCAUGAGUAACGAGAGGAGAGUGAGAAUCUCUCCCCCCUGAAGCCCAAGGGUACCUGGGGAAGGUUCGUCCGCCCAGGGUUAGUCGGGACCCUAAGGUAAACCCGAGAGGGGUAGCCGAUGGGAAACCAGUUAAUAAUCUGGUACCUAUACAUAGCGAGUCAUGGGGUGUGACGCAGGAGGAUAGGCCGAGCGUACUAGUUGCAUAGUGCGUCUAAGCGUUAAGGUCGGAGAAGGCAGUAGGGAAAGCCGCUGCUGGAGGCUAAGGCGUGAAUGGGAGUCCCAUUAGGGGCGACUUGGUUGACUUCACACUGUCGAGAAAAGCAUCGCAUGGCGUUGAGUUAUGGAUAGACCGUUCCGUAAACCGACACAGGUAGGCUAGCUGAGAAGGCUAAGGGGAUCGGGAUAACCUCUGUUAAGGAACUAGGCAAAAUGGCCCCGUAACUUAGGGAGAAGGGGCACUUCUGGGUGUGCAUAGCACUUGGGAGUCGCAGUGACAAGGCUCCGGCGACUGUUUACCAAAAACACAGGACUCUGCUAACUCGAAAGAGGAGGUAUAGGGUCUGACGCCUGCCCAGUACUGGAAGGUUAAGGGGACGGGUUAGCCCUAGAGGCGAAGCUCAGAACCGAAGCCCCAGUAAACGGCGGCCGUAACUAUAACGGUCCUAAGGUAGCGAAAUUCCUCGUCGGGUAAGUUCCGACCUGCACGAAUGGCGAAACGAUCGGAGCGCUGUCUCAACAGAGGGCCCGGUGAAAUUACAGUCUGGGUGAAGAUGCCCAGUACUCGCAGCUAGACGGAAAGACCCCGUGGAGCUUUACUGUAGCUUGACAUUGUACUUUGUUUUCAGGUGUACAGGAUAGGUGGGAGGCUAUGAACCCGGUUCGCCAGGAUCGGGGGAGCCGAACUUGGGAUACCACCCUCCUGGAAACGGAGUACUAACCUGUAGGCAGUGGAGAGCUGUGCAGGGACAUUGUUAAGUGGGCAGUUUGACUGGGGCGGUCGCCUCCUAAAGAGUAACGGAGGCGCGCGAAGGUCGACUCAUGCUGGUUGGGAACCAGUUGGAGAGUGCAAGGGCAAAAGUCGGCUUGACUGUGAGGUUGACAGACCGAGCAGGACGGAAACGUGGUCCUAGUGACCCUGCGGCGCUGAAUGGAAAGGCCGUAGAUUAACGGAUAAAAGUUACCCCGGGGAUAACAGGCUAAUACUGCCCGAGAGUUCACAUCGACGGCAGUGUUUGGCACCUCGAUGUCGGCUCAUCGCAUCCUGGGGCUGGAGCAUGUCCCAAGGGUUAGGCUGUUCGCCUAUUAAAGCGGUACGUGAGCUGGGUUCAGAACGUCGUGAGACAGUUCGGUCCCUAUCUGCUGCGAGCGUAGGAGACUUGAGAAGGGUCGCCCCUAGUACGAGAGGACCGGGGUGAGCGUACCAACGGUGAACCAGUUGUCGUGCAAGCGGCAGGAGCUGGGUAGCUGAGUACGUAAGAGAUAACCGCUGAAAGCAUCUAAGCGGGAAGCACGCUUCAAGACGAGGUCUCUCAGGGACGUUCGAGAA
rnacentral:rRNA from 1 species